GAGUUCCGCUAAAUUUUCCUCUAUUCUUUCUUGGUAAACAAACUGUAACAACGCUAAGCACAUUGAAUUUCCUCUGGACAAAAACUUCUACUUAAAAGGGAAGAACAACUAAGUGUAGGAGAUGGAUUCAUUCACUGACUCGCCCUGCGAUU